UUUACUUUGCACCGCGUGGUCAGGAUAAGACCGUUGAGAGAUCUCGGAUAUCGCCGAGAUCAAGGUGCUCGUCCUUAUCCUGCAAACUCAUAAGACAAAAUAGCCAUGCCGGCAUACGCCUGGGAUGCCGGCUUAGUGUUAGUUUGACUUUACGAUGCCGGCAUAUAUAACUAUGCCGGCCUUGUCUCUGUCAUCUCGGCUAGAGUUGUGUCGCCAUGACCCUACCCGGGGUCAUCCCCCCGACA
rnacentral:lncRNA from 1 species